UACGUAGGGUGCGAGCGUUGUCCGGAAUUAUUGGGCGUAAAGGGCUCGUAGGCGGUCUGUCACGUCAGGAGUGAAAACUCGGGGCUCAACCCCGAGCCUGCUUCUGAUACGGGCAGACUGGAGGUAUGCAGGGGAGAACGGAAUUCCUGGUGUAGCGGUGAAAUGCGCAGAUAUCAGGAGGAACACCGGUGGCGAAGGCGGUUCUCUGGGCAUUACCUGACGCUGAGGAGCGAAAGUGUGGGAAGCGAACAGG
rnacentral:rRNA from 1 species